UUGGAGGGCAAGUCUGGUGCCAGCAGCCGCGGUAAUUCCAGCUCCAAUAGCGUAUAUUAAAGUUGUUGCAGUUAAAAAGCUCGUAGUUGAAUUUCGGGAUUAGUACGUCGGUCGUGCCUUAGGUACGUACUGGUGUUACUGGUUCCUACCUUCUGACGAACCAUCAUGUCAUUAAUUUGGUGUGGUGGGGAAUCAGGACUGUUACUUUGAAAAAAUUAGAGUGUUUAAAGCAGGCUCGCGCUUGAAUACAUUAGCAUGGAAUAAUGAAAUAGGACGUUGAUCCUAUUUUGUUGGUUUCUAGGAUUGACGUAAUGAUUAAUAGGGAUAGCUGGGGGCAUCAGUAUUCAAUUGUCAGAGGUGAAAUUCUUGGAUUUAUUGAAGACUAACUACUGCGAAAGCAUUUGCCAAGGAUGUUUUCAUCAAUCAAGAACGAAAGUUAGGGGAUCGAAGACGAUCAGAUACCGUCGUAGUCUUAACCAUAAACUAUGCCGACUAGGGAUCGGAUGAUGUUAUUUUUAAUGACUCAUUCGGCGCCUUACGGGAAAC
rnacentral:rRNA from 1 species